rnacentral:sRNA from 1 species
UUAGAUAAUACAAAAGUGCGGUGUCUUC